ACUCCUACGGGAGGCAGCAGUGGGGAAUAUUGCACAAUGGGCGCAAGCCUGAUGCAGCCAUGCCGCGUGUGUGAAGAAGGCCUUCGGGUUGUAAAGCACUUUCAGUCGUGAGGAAGGUAGUGUAGUUAAUAGCUGCAUUAUUUGACGUUACCUACAGAAGAAGCACCGGCUAACUCCGUGCCAGCAGCCGCGGUAAUACGGAGGGUGCGAGCGUUAAUCGGAAUUACUGGGCGUAAAGCGCAUGCAGGCGGCCUGUUAAGUCAGAUGUGAAAGCCCGGGGCUUAACCUCGGAAUUGCAUUUGAAACUGGCAGGCUAGAGUCUUGUAGAGGGGGGUAGAAUUUCAGGUGUAGCGGUGAAAUGCGUAGAGAUCUGAAGGAAUACCAGUGGCGAAGGCGGCCCCCUGGACAAAGACUGACGCUCAGAUGCGAAAGCGUGGGGAGCAAACAGGAUUAGAUACCCUGGUAGGAUAGCG
rnacentral:rRNA from 1 species